AUACGUAGGGGGCAAGCGUUAUCCGGAUUUACUGGGUGUAAAGGGAGCGUAGACGGCGAAGCAAGUCUGAAGUGAAAGGACGGGGCCCAACCCCGGAACUGCUUUGGAAACUGUUUGGCUGGAGUGCGGGAGGGGUAAGCGGAAUUCCUAGUGUAGCGGUGAAAUGCGUAGAUAUUAGGAGGAACACCGGUGGCGAAGGCGGCUUACUGGACCGUAACUGACGUUGAGGCUCGAAGGCGUGGGGAGCAAACGGGAUUAGAUACCCUGGUAGUCCACGCGGUAAACGAUGAUCACUAGGUGUCCGUGGGUAUGACCCAUGGGUGCCGCAGCCAACGCAAUAAGUGAUCCACCUGGGGAGUACGUUCGCAAGAAUGAAACUUAAAUGAAUUGACGGGG
rnacentral:rRNA from 1 species